CAAAGGGAAGAGGAAGUAACCGAGGAUGAGCCGAACAAGUCACUUACGGUUUCUUGUUAGGAGAUGCUGGAAUUCGUCAGAAGAUGUGUGGCCAGACAUGGAUCAAUCCCACCCGGAAUUGGGUUUCACAUCCCGGAAGCAGAGAUGUACACAUGGGUCACUUUCAUCGACUCACUGCGGCCAUGGCCAUAGGUAUCCAUCAUACAGACCAUUGACUGCUUGUGACCAUGAAGGUACAAAUUCAUCACAAAGAGAGGCUGCGGUGGAUGAGGGGGUGUAACAGGCCGAAAGAUGAAUAACAGAUGCUGCGAUGCUGUCGCGAUCUGAACUCCAGACUUGGCCGACUCGCUUGAAGACUGAGGGAGAGAAGAUGAAGGGAAAAAGGAUGGCGAGCGAGAUGAGGAGAAGGAGACGGUGUAGUCUGAUUGCCGCUGACUCGCGUCCAGCACGCUGAAAAUUGUGAGCCGGUUUGAUACACAAACACACCUAUGAGAUGUGGUGAAUGCUUGGAAAACGCAGGCAAACAUUUUCUGGGAGAGUCUGACAACGCUCAACAAUAUCAAGUAAAGCACAAAAUAGACAAAC